rnacentral:pre_miRNA from 1 species
ACGUUGUGAAUCAGCCACUACAUCGCAGUCACGUGAUUGUAUGUUUGGAAGAAUGAAGAUGUGAGUGUCAAACACAUCAUCUAUCUUCUGUCCAUAUGGAUUUUAUAUUUCAUGUGAUGUGACGUAGUGGAACAUUCCUGACG